CGAUUGGUGGAUAUCAUCGCAGCUGUUCCACCGCAAUACCGUCGAGCGCUGGUGCCCAAACUAAAGGCCAAACCCAUCCGCACUGCCAGCGGGAUUGCAGUCGUAGCUGUGAUGUGUAAACCUCAUCGAUGUCCUCACAUCAGCUUUACAGGCAACAUCUGUGUCUACUGUCCUGGUGGACCGGACUCCGACUUUGAGUACUCCACACAGUCUUACACUGGCUACGAGCCGACUUCCAUGAGAGCCAUCCGAGCUCGUUACGACCCCUACCUACAGACCCGACAUCGAGUGGAGCAGGUCGGUGAUUU